AAGGAAUGCUAAUACCGCAUACGUCCUACGGGAGAAAGCAGGGGAUCUUCGGACCUUGCGCUAAUAGAUGAGCCUAAGUCGGAUUAGCUAGUUGGUGGGGUAAAGGCCUACCAAGGCGACGAUCUGUAGCGGGUCUGAGAGGAUGAUCCGCCACACUGGGACUGAGACACGGCCCAGACUCCUACGGGAGGCAGCAGUGGGGAAUAUUGGACAAUGGGCGCAAGCCUGAUCCAGCCAUGCCGCGUGUGUGAAGAAGGCCUUAUGGUUGUAAAGCACUUUAAGCGAGGAGGAGGCUACUUUAGUUAAUACCUAGAGAUAGUGGACGUUACUCGCAGAAUAAGCACCGGCUAACUCUGUGCCAGCAGCCGCGGUAAUACAGAGGGUGCAAGCGUUAAUCGGAUUUACUGGGCGUAAAGCGCGCGUAGGCGGCUAAUUAAGUCAAAUGUGAAAUCCCCGAGCUUAACUUGGGAAUUGCAUUCGAUACUGGUUAGCUAGAGUGUGGGAGAGGAUGGUAGAAUUCCAGGUGUAGCGGUGAAAUGCGUAGAGAUCUGGAGGAAUACCGAUGGCGAAGGCAGCCAUCUGGCCUAACACUGACGCUGAGGUGCGAAAGCAUGGGGAGCAAACAGGAUUAGAUACCCUGGUAGUCCAUGCCGUAAACGAUGUCUACUAGCCGUUGGGGCCUUUGAGGCUUUAGUGGCGCAGCUAACGCGAUAAGUA
rnacentral:rRNA from 1 species